AAAGUAGGUUACUGACCAAUCAUGAGAGAGUUAGACAGGACAUAGGGAAAAAGUAGGUUACUGACCAAUCAUGAGAGAGUUAGACAGGACAUAGGGAAAAAAGUAGGUUACUGACCAAUCAUGAGAGAGUUAGACAGGACAUAGGGAAAAAAGUAGGUUACUGACCAAUCAUGAGAGAGUUAGACAGGACAUAGGGAAAAAAGUAGGUUACUGACCAAUCAUGAGAGAGUUAGACAGGACAUAGGGAAAAAAGUAGGUUACUGACCAAUCAUGAGAGAGUUAGACAGGACAUAGGGAAAAAAGUAGGUUACUGACCAAUCAUGAGAGAGUUAGACAGGACAUAGGGAAAAAAGUAGGUUACUGACCAAUCAUGAGAGAGUUAGACAGGACAUAGGGAAAAAAGUAGGUUACUGACCAAUCAUGAGAGAGUUAGACAGGACAUAGGGAAAAAAGUAGGUUACUGACCAAUCAUGAGAGAGUUAGACAGGACAUAGGGAAAAAAGUAGGUUACUGACCAAUCAUGAGAGAGUUAGACAGGACAUAGGGAAAAAAGUAGGUUACUGACCAAUCAUGAGAGAGUUAGACAGGACAUAGGGAAAAAAGUAGGUUACUGACCAAUCAUGAGAGAGUU